UCUCUCUCCUAUGUUUAUAAAAAUAGAAUAUUUUCUCUCUCUCUCUCUCUCUCUCUCUCUUCAUCUUUCAAUUCUUCUUAUAUCAUUCAUUUCAAGCACGCCUCUCUCUUCCUUUUUCUUUUUUUUUUUUUGGUUUUAGAAAUUGAAUAACGUGUGUUAUAAAGAUCUUUACACAAUCCAUUUGAUUAAGAAUCUAAGAUAUUCACAAGAAUCCCAUUGAUUGAGGUAUGCAUCUUUAUUCGAUUUUUAGGUCUGUUAACCGAAUUCAUUUUUGUUUAAAUAUUUCAUAAAAUUAUUUAUUUAGUAUUUUAGAUAAUGAAAACCUCAAGGAUCCUCUGUAGUGACCCUCUAAGAGGAUUAUAAGUGGUAUCCCACUUAAUCAUCAAUUUUCUAGAUCCAAGCAUAUACAAGGCUGACCAUUACUAUUAACCAAUGUCGGCAGAAUGUUGGCGUUGUUGGUGUUUCUCGCCACCGAUCUCACAUUCAUCGAUCACCCAGAACACAAAUUAAAUGACAAUAAAUUUUGUAUUUUUAUUUUGCUCAUUUUGUAUUUCAGUGUUACAUUGUAAACAUACAAGUUUGUAUUUCUUUUUAUUUUGUAUUCAUAGUAAUGGUAUACCAACAAAGUCACAUUUGUAUUCCAAUAGAAUUGAGUAUCAUUUGUGCCCUUUUUUUUUA